rnacentral:rRNA from 1 species
UGGCUAAGACAUGCAAGUCGAACCGACAUUAAUUUUUAGUGGUUAGUGGCGAAGGGGUUAGUAAUGAAUAGGUAACGUACCCCGUGCUUCAGGAUAGCGUCAGUAGGGUCGGCUACUUUCCGAAAGGGGCGGUAAUACUGAAUAAUAUCACCAGUUGAUAGACUGAUGAUCAAAGAUUUAUCGGCGCAGGAGCGGCCUAUUUCCUAUCAGCUUGUUGGUGAGGUAAUGGCUCACCAAGGCUAAGACGGGUAGCGGGACUGAGAGGUUGACCCGCAACAUCGGGACUGAGACACUGCCCGGAGCGUCCACGGAGGGCUGCAGUAACGAAUAUUGCGCAAUGGGCGAAAGCCUGACGCAGCGACGCCGCGUGUAGGAGGAAGUCCCUCGGGAUGUAAACUACUGUCAGGGUGAAGAAAGUUGGCUUCGGCCAAUUGAUCUAACCCAGAGGAAGUCACGGCUAACUUCGUGCCAGCAGCCGCGGUAAGACGAAGGUGGCUAGCGUUGUUCGGUAUUACUGGGCUUAAAGCGUAUGCAGGCGGAGCAGUAAGCGUCGUGUGAAAUCCC